CGCGAUUGGAGCGGCCGAUAUCAGAUUAGGUAGUUGGUGAGGUAAAGGCUCACCAAGCCGACGAUCUGUAGCUGGUCUGAGAGGACGACCAGCCACACUGGGACUGAGACACGGCCCAGACUCCUACGGGAGGCAGCAGUGGGAAUUUUGGACAAUGGGCGAAAGCCUGAUCCAGCAAUGCCGCGUGAGUGAUGAAGGCCUUCGGGUCGUAAAGCUCUUUUACCAGGGAUGAUAAUGACAGUAUCUGGAGAAUAAGCUCCGGCUAACUCCGUG
rnacentral:rRNA from 1 species